CCUACGGGCGGCAGCAGUCGAGAAUCAUUCACAAUGGGGGAAACCCUGAUGGUGCGACGCCGCGUGGGGGAAUGAAGGUCUUCGGAUUGUAAACCCCUGUCAUGUGGGAGCAAAUUAACAAGAUAGUACCACAAGAGGAAGAGGCGGCUAACUCUGUGCCCGCAGCCGCGGUAAUACAUAGGUCGCAAGCGUUGUUCGGAAUCACUGGGCGUAAAGCGUGCGUAGGCGGUUUCGUAAGUCGUGUGUGAAAGGCGCGGGCUCAACCCGCGGACGGCACAUGAUACUGCGAGACUUGAGGAAUGGAGGGGGAACCGGAAGUCUCGGUGUAGCAGUGAAAUGCGUAGAUAUCGAGAGGAACACUCGUGGCGAAGGCGGGUUCCUGGACAUUAACUGACGCUGAGGCACGAAGGCCAGGGGAGCGAAAGGGAUUAGAUACCCGGGUAGUC
rnacentral:rRNA from 1 species